rnacentral:rRNA from 1 species
UACGUAGGGGGCAAGCGUUGUCCGGAAUCAUUGGGCGUAAAGCGCGUGUAGGCGGCUCGGUAAGCCUGCUCUGAAAGCCCGGGGCUCAACCCUGGGAGGCGGGUGGAUACUGCUGAGCUCGAGUCCGGAAGAGGCGAGUGGAAUUCCUGGUGUAGCGGUGAAAUGCGCAGAUAUCAGGAUGAACACCAAUGGCGAAGGCAGCUCGCUGGGACGGUACUGACGCUGAGACGCGAAAGCGUGGGGAGCAAACAGG